rnacentral:rRNA from 1 species
GAUGAACGCUAGCGGCAGGCUUAACACAUGCAAGUCGAGGGGUAACGAUGGUGCUUGCAUCAGGCGACGACCGGCGAACGGGUGCGUAACGCGUAUAGAAUCUGCCUUGUACAGGAGGAUAGCCUUUAGAAAUGAAGAUUAAUACUCCAUAAUGUAUUGUAAUGGCAUCAUUAUAAUAUUAAAGAUUUAUUGGUACAAGAUGACUAUGCGUCCUAUUAGUUAGUUGGUAAGGUAAUGGCUUACCAAGGCGGCGAUAGGUAGGGGGUCUGAGAGGAUUAUCCCCCACACUGGUACUGAGACACGGACCAGACUCCUACGGGAGGCAGCAGUGAGGAAUAUUGGACAAUGGGCGGAAGCCUGAUCCAGCCAUGCCGCGUGCAGGAAGACUGCCCUAUGGGUUGUAAACUGCUUUUAUACAGGAAGAAACACCAAUACGUGUAUUGGCUUGACGGUACUGUAAGAAUAAGCACCGGCUAACUCCGUGCCAGCAGCCGCGGUAAUACGGAGGGUGCAAGCGUUAUCCGGAAUCAUUGGGUUUAAAGGGUCCGCAGGCGGUCGAUUAAGUCAGAGGUGAAAUCCCAUAGCUUAACUAUGGAACUGCCUUUGAUACUGGUUGACUUGAGUCAUAUGGAAGUAGAUAGAAUAAGUAGUGUAGCGGUGAAAUGCAUAGAUAUUACUUAGAAUACCGAUUGCGAAGGCAGUCUACUACGUAUGUACUGACGCUCAUGGACGAAAGCGUGGGGAGCGAACAGG